AGCGUCAGAGGGAGAAGAACGAGCUAGCGAAUCGCCUUGCGAAACUGAGUCAUAGCGCGGCGUGAUGAAGAGUUCAGAUAAACCUCCGAUGGGGUCGAAUUCAAGAACCCUAGCUGCUGAAUCACCUGUUGUGAACAAUCGGAGUGAUGGUACGGUUUGGUUUCAAUGAGUAUUUGCAUAUUUUUUAAUCUUCAAAAAUCUAAAUGAGUGAUUUCUUUGUGGUGAAAUGGUCCGGUUGGGGAGCCUGCUAUGCCGAAUAUGGAUGUCAAAGCUGAAAGUAAGAGAGUGGUUGGCACAAGGAAAAUGAAAUCCUUGAUGACAGUUAGGUCCAGCAAAGUAGAAAGAAAGGGCCAGCUACCUCGCAUCUCGAUGGAUUGAAUUGGGAGGUGUUUGUUGUCAAUGAGUCGGAUGUCAAUGCCUUUUGGCUACCUGGUGGUGAGAUUGUUGUAUACACCGGAUUAUUAGAGCAUUUUAAAAGUGAUGCUGAGAUUGCCACUAUAAUUAGACGUGAGGUUGGUCAUGCUUUGGCCCGACACACCGCUGAAUAUAUGACAAAGAACUUAUGGUUUGCUAUCCUGCAGUUUAUUCUUUAUCGAUUUGUCAAAUUUUAAAAUGAUCUCUCAGGUUAUUUACAUACCUUUUUCAAGCUAGUUUAUUGACUUAGUCUCUGAGGUAGAGUAACUAAACAAAAAACUUAAAUGAUCAAAUAUAGUGUGAGGAAUAAUUUCCAACUCUAUCUGACUUGUUCAACAGCAAAUUUGUGAAAGUAAUCUCCUACUUACUCGUUUCGUUUUAGCUUGCUCCUCGUGCACGGCAGUCACUACUCACUCACCAACCAAAUAAUGUUUCUCUAUUUAAACAUUUCAUAACUAAGCUGAAUUGUUUAGGAAGGAAGAUGGCGGGCAAGCAAAGUGUUUCCUCUGACCCCCUGAGCUGGGGCCUAGCAGCGGAUUCACUCCAGGGCAGCCACUUUCAUGAGGUCAAACGCAUGGUGGCGGAGUACCGAAAAACUAUUGUUAUGCUCAUUACUCAAUGGACUAUGUCUCUGCAAAUUCCUGUUGCUAAAUAAAUGGUUCAUGUUAUUGAGUUCAAGAAGAAAGAGUAGCAAUUAACUAGUAAAAGGCAUAACUAACCUUGAUAGAGGGUUUAUUUAUAGUGGCAGAGCAAAUUUUAGUUUUAUAUCCAUGCCCCUCAACAGUUUGUAAAUACUUAUUUUUAUUUAUAAAUUGAGGGGGCAAAGCAAUUGACCUUUUUGUUUCAAGUCGAACAGCUCUCAUUUUAUUAGUUAGUUUCAAGAUGUACUGCAGUUUCUAUGUUUUAAUACUAUUUUAAACAUGGAUGGUGAGCAUAUUCUCAAUUGCUCGUUUUCGUGAAAUUAAUUCCAUGCUAACAAGGAUGCUGAAUACAUAAUAUGCUGUAGAAUGAGAACAAAUACUCUUGACGUGUUCAAAAGUUUGCUGAUAAAUUUUACAAUUACUCUAAUUAUUUAUCUGUUUCUUUUACAUUACUCUUGGAUAUAUUAUAUUUGUUUGUCCUUGGUUUUAUUCAAUUUCUGCUGCUGAAGGAAGUUACCACCAGUAUUAAAUCAGGGGAAAAUUAGCUUUUUGUUUAGUUUAUUAAGUAAUGUUAGUACCAGAGAUACAUUGAUCCACAGAUGUUGUUAAUUAUUCAACUCAAUUUUUCAAAGGUUUUUAUGAAGUAUACUAGGAUUGUAUCAUAACAUUAUGCUGUAGUUUUUUGCAGAUUUGUGUUUUCAGUAAAUAAUCAAUCGAAGAUUGUAAGCAAGUGCUUGUAUAGGAAGUAACAAGCAUAAGCAUUUUCCAUAAUUUAUGUUAUAGGAAUAGCUUAUUGAUUUUCCAUAAUUUUGGGGAAACUAGAAACAACCUGUGCUGCUUUGCUCCUAUGUUCUUUCCGUACUUCUUUCGCGCUGGUUUAUGAUUGGUCAGUCUUCUCUGCUCCAAAGGUCACUGAUUCUACUGGUAUGUUGUGAACGUAAAGAUUUUCCCUCAAAUUGUUACCUUGUUGCUGAAUUAAAUAUCAGAUUGGUAGGUAGAUCCACUGAAAUGACCCAAAAUGAAUAAGUUCUUUUCAGCUGGAAGGCAAAAUUCUAAUUUAAGUCCUGACAAACAAAUUUUUAAUUUGUUUUUACUAUUUUAUUUUUGGUAGAAUUUGUGUGUGUAUUAAUUGUAUAGAGUUAGUGUAGUUUGUGUUUUUGAACAAUUUAGUGUAGUUAGUGUACUUAUUGCCCCCUUUUUCGCUUAGCUAUUAUCUUGGAGUUUAAUUCUUGCUUGAAAUUGCACGAUCAUGCGUACAUUCUAGCAGAAGAGAUGCUGAAUCCAAUCCUUUGGACUAUCUGUAACUCUAUCUUCAUGCUCAAUAUUAGAUAGAAUGCAUAGCUAAAUUUAUCUGGAUUUUCUUUAUUCAUUUGUUCCAUUUUCUACUUUUUAUGAUAUCUGCGUUAAUUUACUGUUCCCAUUUUUCUUCUUCUAGAUUCCAGAACUGUGAUGGCAAUUCUUGGCUAGUAUUGGAAUGGAUAACUUGAACACUUAAUGCACAAAGUGGAGCAAUUUUAGGUUGAUUCUGAUCUUUUACUAAGUAUUUAGGCUGAUGAGCAUGUCUAUUAGUGUAAUUUGAUAUAUUAUGAGCAGUUCUAACUUGUAUUGUUUCUGUAUUUUUCUUCGGUUUUUAGUUUUGAAAUUUAAACUCAGAUUUAUUUUGUA